GCUAAUACCGCAUACACUCUGAGGAGGAAAGUAGGGGAUCGAAAGACCUUAUGCUUUUGGAGCGGCCGAUGUCUGAUUAGCUAGUUGGUAAGGUAAUGGCUUACCAAGGCAACGAUCAGUAGUUGGUCUGAGAGGACGACCAGCCACACUGGGACUGAGACACGGCCCAGACUCCUACGGGAGGCAGCAGUGGGGAAUUUUGGACAAUGGGCGCAAGCCUGAUCCAGCAAUGCCGCGUGAGUGAAGAAGGCCUUCGGGUUGUAAAGCUCUUUCAGUUGAGAAGAAAAGAUUGUGACUAAUAAUUGCAAUUCAUGACGGUAUCAACAGAAGAAGCACCGGCUAACUACGUGCCAGCAGCCGCGGUAAUACGUAGGGUGCGAGCGUUAAUCGGAAUUACUGGGCGUAAAGGGUGCGCAGGCGGUUCUGUAAGUCAGAUGUGAAAUCCCCGGGCUUAACCUGGGAACUGCGU
rnacentral:rRNA from 1 species